rnacentral:rRNA from 1 species
UACGGGGGGGGCAAGCGUUGUUCGGAAUUACUGGGCGUAAAGGGCUCGUAGGCGGCCAACUAAGUCGGACGUGAAAUCCCUCGGCUUAACCGGGGAACUGCGUCCGAUACUGGAUGGCUUGAGUUCUGGAGAGGAAGGCGGAAUUCUCGGUGUAGAGGUGAAAUUCGUAGAUAUCGAGAGGAACACCGGUGGCGAAGGCGGCCUUCUGGACAGCAACUGACGCUGAGACGCGAAAGCGUGGGGAGCAAACAGG